GUAUAUAGUAGUAUACAGUAGUAUAUAGUAGUAUAUAGUAGUAUCUCACCACAGGUUGUUUGGUGAUGUAGUAAUACCAGGUGUAUACAGUAGUAUAUAGUAGUAUAUAGUAGUAUACAGUAGUAUAUAGUAGUAUAUAGUAGUAUACAGUAGUAUACAGUAGUAUAUAGUAGUAUCUCACCACAGGUUGUUUGGUGAUGUAGUAAUACCAGGUGUAUAUAGUAGUAUAUAGUAGUAUAUAGUAGUAUCUCACCACAGGUUGUUUGGUGAUGUUGUAAUACCAGGUGUAUAUAGUAGUAUAUAGUAGUAUAUAGUAGUAUCUCACCACAGGUUGUUUGGUGAUGUUGUAAUACCAGGUGUUUAUAGUAGUAUAUAGUAGUAUAUAGUAGCAUCUCACCACAGGUUGUUUGGUGAUGUAGUAAUACCAGGUGUUUAUAGUAGUAUAUAGUAGUAUAUAGUAGCAUCUCACCACAGGUUGUUUGGUGAUGUAGUAAUACCAGGUGUUUAUAGUAGUAUACAGUAGUAUAUAGUAGUAUAUAGUAGUAUCUCACCACAGGUUGUUUGGUGAUGUAGUAAUACCAGGUGUAUAUAGUAGUAUACAGUAGUAUAUAGUAGUAUAUAGUAGUAUCUCACCACAGGUUGUUUGGUGAUGUUGUAAUACCAGGUGUAUAUAGUAGUAUAUAGUAGUAUAUAGUAGUAUCUCACCACAGGUUGUUUGGUGAUGUAGUAAUACCAGGUGUUUAUAGUAGUAUAUAGUAGUAUAUAGUAGUAUCUCACCACAGGUUGUUUGGUGAUGUUGUAAUACCAGGUGUAUAUAGUAGUAUAUAGUAGUAUAUAGUAGUAUACAGUAGUAUAUAGUAGUAUAUAGUAGUAUCUCACCACAGGUUGUUUGGUGAUGUAGUAAUACCAGGUGUUUAUAGUAGUAUAUAGUAGUAUAUAGUAGCAUCUCACCACAGGUUGUUUGGUGAUGUAGUAAUACCAGGUGUUUAUAGUAGUAUAUAGUAGUAUAUAGUAGUAUAUAGUAGUAUAUAGUAGUAUAUAG